rnacentral:lncRNA from 1 species
CCCCGCCCUGGGCGGCUCCUGGCCUGGGACAGCCUCGGGGCAGGUAAUCCCUGAACUCCAGUGGGAAGUUUGCUUAGCUACAGGGUGCGGUGUCCUGCCCAGCAUCAGCAGCACGGAGGCAGGAAGACAGGAGACUGGCUAGCCACAAAGGCCAGGACUUCUCAUCUCAAGUCUGACUCCCAGAAGCCACAGAAAAUGAAACUCCCCCCAAACCCCGGUCUUUGCCUCCAGAGUUGGGCCGCAGUGACCAGUGGUCAGCAGGCAAGAAUUUCCAGCUCAUUGUCCACCUGCUGAGGAAAUGGAGGGAUCUCCGGGUGGUAGACUUAAUGUCACUGAAACACGCCUCAAGGAUCCCAGCUAAUUGGAGACCAGAUCCUUUUAGGAAGAUACGAAUGGAACUCUGAAAUUUAAACCAGUAUUACAAUGAUAUAGGGGAAAGAGAUAUAAACCUGCUAGAUAUCCAAAGCGCAAGUUUGUGUUCUCUAAAAUCAAAGAAUGAAUUCUAGGAACAACGGCGGGUAAGAGUAGGAAAAAUUUAUUGAGAGAAAGAUAGCUUCUGCCUAAGAGAGACAGAAGGGGGACCGGGAAGUGGGUUGCCCAGGGACCCCGUUUCCUAGGGGGUUUAUGGAGCAAAGCCACGAGCUGAGGCGGGUUCAAGGUGGGACAAAAUUAUAGUCAACUAGGCAGAUUACAAAUACAAUCGUUUAGGGAAUAUUGAUCCAGUGGGGAAUCACAGGCGGGUAUGAGGUGGGGCAAAACUAUGAUCAACCAAUAAGAUUACAAGAAUAGUUGCUUAGGUAAUAUUGAUUAAAUGGGGAGCCAGU